ensembl:lncRNA
UGCCUCUCUUGCUGUUGCAGGCUCCGACCAGCCAGGGGGCUGUACUCACUCCUCGCCUGCCCGACUCUUUCAAGCUCACGUCGAGUCCGUCUCAGUGCAGAAAAAAAAGGGGGAAGCGGGUAGGGGCUGUUGUCGGGAAACAUGGAGCUCAGAGUCGUCAUAACAACGCAGAGGCGAAGUGCCAGCCACUGCAAGAAGUGUGUUUGUCCAAUCAGGGUUGGAUAAUAUUGGGUCAGAAAAAACUAAAUCUGGCACACUGCUCCUCCCUUGAAAUACUUUCUUAAAGUUCUCCCCAGGAUGUGACGUUUUAAAACACAAAGCUCUUCAUCUGAUGAUUCAAUUCUCAGUUGUUGGAUAAUAUUGGAGGAUAUUGGGCGGAGUCAAGAGACAGGGCAAGCAACAGGCAACAGGCAACAGGCAACAGGCAACAAAUGGUGAAAGUGAUGAGGCUGACAUAUGACCUGUGAAGAUGUGUGCCGUCACCCCGAACCCUUGCCUAAAGAUGGAUAAGGACAAGGAUGGAGUUUUAAGAGGAAAGUUUCACUAAAAAGUUGCCCGAUGGAUCUUUGGAGAAAACAAAAGUUUUCUGCACAGUUUGCAAAGCCGAAUUUUAAUAACCACAGAAGCAACUCGUCUUUGACAUAUCACCUCAAAGCAAAACACCCUCCUGAGCACUGAUGGUUCUAAUAACAUGGUUGCAGCCACAACAGUACUUCCAUCUGAACACCUACCCCGCAUGGCCCACAGGCAGCAAGAGUACUUCCAUCUGAACACCUACCCCACAUGGCCCACAUCUGAAAACCGACCCCGCAUGGCCCACAGGCAGCAAAGGACAGUCAUGCUUUCCCUUCACCAAAGUGUUCUGGCCAAAUGGCAAGAUUUGCCAAGUGUUCCAGGCAAGAUUAUCGAUCACUUUAAGCACAGUCCAUCAAGCGGUCAGGAAGAGAUCAGCAAGCUACACUUGGACCGAAGCAAGCAUAAUUUGUUCCGGACGUGGAAACUGGAUGGAAUUCUACCCUAGAGAUGGUCAAGCGAGUCCAGUGAAAAAAAUCUCCACUGACUGAUGGAGAUCAUUUCCAAACACUGUUAAUGACUUAAGAAUAUAAUAAUCAAGUGCCUUGUAUUAUUAAUUACCUUAUAUGAAUCAUGUACUUAUGUAAGCAGGAACAUGGCUUUUCUGUGUUUCUGCGUGUGUGUAACUUAGAAUAUUAGGUGCCACUUAGUCUGCAUAUGUACAAGAGCAUGUUUAGACCAGAGGUGAUAAGAAGAGUCGAACUGUGCUUCUUCCGACCUUGCAAAACUUCCAUCCACGGACGUCAGAAGUCCAUCACGUGGUUAUCCCUACUGAACGCUAAACUUCUGUCUAUAUAAACCUUGUGCGAUGUGUUUAAUAUUGCUUCACUUUCAGCCUUGUGCUGGGAGUGAGCCCGAUUGCAAUUGUUGUUUGUCUAAUAAAUAUACUUACAGUAUAUGCAGCUCCGGAGUCCUGAGGUAACUAGGGUGAAUUUUCACCUAUCACUGACCACUACAAUGGCUCAGCAAAACAGCAAAGAAGCAAGACAUUUCUCUUCUGCCGUGUUGACUGCAGAGGAGCUUGCCAAACUGCAAAAGCUGGAGGAAAUAAUUGAACUAUGCAAGUUAAUGUUUCUUUCUUCUUUCUCUCUCUCUCUCUCUCAUGUGCUGUUUUCUCUCUCUCCCUCCCUCGGUCUGUGCUCAGAGAGUUUUGAUAACGGAGUUCAAGGCCCAUUAGGUAUGGUGGACCGGCAGAGAACGCAAGUGCACUGUCUGUGCGUUAUGCUCAGCCACUUCACGCUGCCGCUGUUCCUGCGCACGCCGGGCACUUAGCGGUCUGCGCGGCAUUCAGGCCUUUUUUGUGCGAUGCAUUGUGGAACGUUACCGUUACAGCAAUAAAAAGCAUUCGUCAAAACAAACGCUAACAAACAACAGUAUUUGAAUUUGAAUAUACUUCCUCUGUGUUGAUUCUACAUUAAUUAUGUGCUUUAUAUAAACAUCCAUUAUUACAAGCUUCAGUCUUAAGGGGAAAAAAAUUGCAAAUUAUUCAAUUAAUCAGUUAUUGUUCUUAUUGAUCAACAGCCCUACUUUGCAGACAUAUGUUGAGCCAGCGACUCUAAGAAACUGAACAAAGUGAUAAAAGAAGGCUGGCUCUGUGCAGGGGACUGUUCCGGAGCCCCUAGAGUUGGCUGUGGAGAGAAGGAUGUUGCGCAUGCUGGCCAACACUACACACUCCCUACACAACCUACUGGUCAGACAGCAGUGUUUCAGUUGGAGGCUCCUUCAGCUCCGCUGCAAUAAGGACCAUUACAGGAGGUCAUUCCUGUCCACUGCAACAGCCAUCUACAAUGACUCCCCUCUGUGCCGCGAGAGGAGACGACUCCUCUUAGAGUGGAAAUGCACAAUGCACAUUUUACAUUUCAUUUGCACAUAAUAAUAGCAAUAUCUUGCCUCUAGCGCUGGUGGGUUCUUCAAAAAAGACAACUUGCAAUCAUCAUGUCUUUUGGUUGCAGGCCUUUUAUUUUGAAGCAACAGGCAAGGAAACACUGAUACAUGCUGAGUGAGACAGAAGACAGGUCUAUCUUUGACGCUAACUAACAUAGGGGCUAACACACACAGACUUUAAAUGGCAUAUGACACAGACAGCGUAGCUAACGUUCACACACACGUUGGACACAAAAGGG